rnacentral:rRNA from 2 species
UGUGAACUCGAAGAGUAGGGCGGGACACGUGGUAUCCUGUCUGAAUAUGGGGGGACCAUCCUCCAAGGCUAAAUACUCCUGACUGACCGAUAGUGAACCAGUACCGUGAGGGAAAGGCGAAAAGAACCCCGGCGAGGGGAGUGAAAAAGAACCUGAAACCGUGUACGUACAAGCAGUGGGAGCACCUUCGGGUGUGACUGCGUACCUUUUGUAUAAUGGGUCAGCGACUUAUAUUCUGUAGCAAGGUUAACCGUAUAGGGGAGCCGCAGGGAAACCGAGUCUUAACUGGGCGUUAAGUUGCAGGGUAUAGACCCGAAACCCGGUGAUCUAGCCAUGGGCAGGUUGAAGGUUGGGUAACACUAACUGGAGGACCGAACCGACUAAUGUUGAAAAAUUAGCGGAUGACUUGUGGCUGGGGGUGAAAGGCCAAUCAAACCGGGAGAUAGCUGGUUCUCCCCGAAAGCUAUUUAGGUAGCGCCUCGUGAACUCAUCUUCGGGGGUAGAGCACUGUUUCGGCUAGGGGGUCAUCCCGACUUACCAACCCGAUGCAAACUACGAAUACCGAAGAAUGUUAUCACGGGAGACACACGGCGGGUGCUAACGUCCGUCGUGAAGAGGGAAACAACCCAGACCGCCAGCUAAGGUCCCAAAGUCAUGGUUAAGUGGGAAACGAUGUGGGAAGGCACAGACAGCCAGGAUGUUGGCUUAGAAGCAGCCAUCAUUUAAAGAAAGCGUAAUAGCUCACUGGUCGAGUCGGCCUGCGCGGAAGAUGUAACGGGGCUAAACCAUGCACCGAAGCUGCGGCAGCGACAC